GCUGUUAUUUGGUAACAAGAUGGCGAUCGGGCAGCAGUGGGUUCUAGUGGAAAUGGUUCAGGCUUUUUAUGAGGCUCCAGCUUACCAUCUAAUUCUGGAAGGUAUCCUCAUUUUAUGGAUAGUAAGACUACUUUUCUCUAAAACCUACAAGCUUCAGGAGCGUUCUGACCUGACAGAAAAGGAGAAAGAAGAACUUAUUGAGGAAUGGCAACCAGAGCCACUUGUUCCACCAAUAUCAAAAGACCACCCUGCCCUUAACAACAAUAUUGUCUCAGGCCCUCCAACUCACAACAUAGUGGUUAAUGAUAGAAGGUGCAUAAAUUUUGCGUCCUUCAAUUUUCUCGGGUUGCUAGAUAAUGAAAAAGUUAAGAAUGUGGCUUUGACUUCCCUGAAAAAAUAUGGUGUUGGUACAUGUGGUCCUAGAGGGUUUUAUGGAACAUUUGAUGUUCAUUUGGAGCUAGAAGAUAGAAUUGCUAAGUUUAUGAGAACCGAAGAAGCUAUUAUUUACUCUUAUGGAUUUGCUACAAUAGCCAGUGCCAUUCCAGCAUACUCUAAGAGAGGCGAUCUGGUGUUUGUGGAUGAAGCUGCAUGCUUUGCUAUUCAAAAAGGUUUGCAAGCUUCACGCAGCAACAUAAAGUAUUUUAAACACAAUGAUAUGGAUGACCUGGAACGGUUGCUUAAAGAACAAGAACUUGAGGACCAGAAAAAUCCUCGCAAAGCACGUGUAACCCGACGAUUUCUGGUAGUGGAGGGAUUGUACAUGAAUACUGGAUACAUUUGUCCACUCCCAGAGCUGGUAAAAUUAAAAUAUAAAUACAAAGUACGGAUAUUUUUGGAAGAAAGUUUAUCCUUUGGAGUUUUAGGAGAGCGUGGACGAGGUGUAACUGAACACUUUGGGGUGAAUAUUAAUGACAUUGACCUUAUAAGCGCAAAUAUGGAGAACUCCUUGGCCUCUAUUGGAGGAUUUUGCUGUGGAAGAUCCUUUGUUAUUGAUCACCAGCGUCUUUCAGGACAAGGUUAUUGUUUCUCUGCAUCUUUGCCACCAAUGCUUGCUUCUGCUGCGAUAGAAGCUCUCAACAUCAUGGAGGAUGACCCAGAUAUUUUCAGAGUAUUAAGACAAAAGUGCCAGCAAAUCCAUUAUGCAUUGCAGGGUAUCUCUGGCCUCAAAGUUGUGGGUGAAUCAUUUUCUCCAGCCAUUCACCUGUUGUUGGCAAGGAGCAGAGGAUCGCGAGAGAAUGAUGUUAGGCUUCUUCAGGAAAUUGUUGAUUACUGCAUGAAACGAGGGAUCGCACUAACUCAAGCACGCUACUUAGAUAAAGAAGAAAGAAUUUUGCCUCCUCCAAGAAUGUGGGAGUCACUGGCUGGGUCAGCAUUUAUUGCCUGUCUCCAGUUGCCCGUGAGGAGGUGAUGUGCAACCACCUUGAUCUGCAAUCUGUGCUCUGCAUUGAUGACCCACGUCUCAUUGAUUGCAAUCAGCAGCAACUUUGGAGAGUAGCAAAACUACUGGAAGCUGAUUCUGGAUUUCAAUGUUAUUCUAUCCCUAUGUGGUCUCUAGAGUUGAUUGUGCGGGUAGUGACUACUAUCAAAUUAACAGAGGAAGAGUUAGACAAGGCUGCAGCGUUGAUCAAGGAAGCAUCCGAAUGCAUCCUUCACUAGGAUCGCCUGAUAUUUGUGAACCAGAAGUCACACAGGGAUGUCAUGCUAUAUUUGCAGAAUGUGUGGAAAUAGAUCAUUAUCUACUGAAUUUAAGGAUGACCAACUACAGGAUUGUCUUUUUAACACUUGGUUAAAAUUAUGGAAACUGUACUAAUGAAGUUGAGUGCAUUUGUCUUGCAAAUGUGGGCAAAGAAUGAUUGUUUGAAAAUGUGGUCGACUAAGGGCCAGAAACCUUUCACUCUUAGUUUCUUAUCCAGGAUAUUCUCUACAUUUUGUAAUAAAUGUAUUUUUGCAACAUUUAUGACAGCUGUGUGCCUAAAGGAUUUAGUUGGUAAUUUCAUAUUUAAAUAAGAAUGUGGUGUAAAGGUUUAACUUUGUACAAAAGUUAAAUGUAUAGCUUAAAUGAAUGUUUGCUAAUUAUACUAUAAAACUAUUUUUCAUGCCUGUCUAAUGGGAAUUUAACUCUUUUUGGUUGCCACACAUUCAGAGGAACACUUACCAUUAUUGAUAUUGGUGUGCAUGUGUUAUUUUCUAGGGUCUUGAUUCUGUUUGAAAUUAAGAUGGAAGUGGCUGAAGAAAGUUUGCUAAUCACCUUUAAUUUUAGGUUAAAAAGAAAUCAUUUAACUGUAAUAAAUUCAUUUUAAGUGUGAUAGCAUGUUUCAUUUUGUUUGGAAUUAGAAAUUGUGCUUUGGGAGGGGUCAGACAACAUAGUGUUAAUGGCUAGCAAAAAUCACCUAAUGCUACUUGUUCAAUCUUCCUAUUGAAUUUUCACUUUUAACCCCAAACGUUUGGUAGAUUUAUACUGUAGAUCAUCAAUUUGUAAAUAUGAUGGGAUCUAGAUGAGUUUCUACAUGAUCCUAUUCAACCUUUCAACAGGUCAAAUCCUUUAUGUAAUGGUAUGCAUUUGAGUAAAUUAGAGUUCAGCUGCAUUAGUUUUAAACUGCGUAAUAAUUCAUCUGCUGAUAACCUUUUUAUUCAAAUUUCUGGAAGGUAAAUACUGAUUUGCAUGUGAUAUGACUUAAGUCAUAUCAUCAAUAUCUUUUUGUAUUGGCAAGCGUAGGAAAUACAAGUGACACUUUUUGCUCUACAAUUUAUAAAUGUAUUUGUUACUUUUCCAAAUAAAUUGGUUUCAUAUCCAUUUUUAACUUAAUUACAGGAUUUGCAGCACUAAAUGUAAGAACUGCAAGAUUUUUUUAAGAUGUUCAUUUAAUAUAAAACACUUGUAAAACAAUUUUAAAAUUACCCAAAGGGAAAUGGUACUAUAAAAGUAUUCUGCAUUCUUUGUGAUUAGGGAGUUUAUUUCCGUCAUCUAUGUGCUGUUUACUGUUAAAUUUAGUGUAUUACUUUAUUCAGGACCUAAAAACAACAUCCGUCUUAGUAUUGAUUACUUUUGAAAAAUAUGGGCUUGUCAGAUGCAUUUGUUAUGUACCUCUACUUUAUAAUUACAGUACACACAUGCAUGCAAAAAUUUCACAACAUUUAAACAGAUAAGUAAUAUGUGACAUUGCAAGUACUGUUUUCAUUGGAGUUAAACGAUGGCCACUAUUCUAAUUGUAGUUGACUUUCUCAGCUGCAUAAUAAAACCAAAAAUCACAAGUACAAGUGUUUUGUAUAUUAUCAAAAUAUAUACCACAAUAAAAUUUUAUACUUGGUACUGA